rnacentral:rRNA from 1 species
AGUGAACGCUGGCGGUAGGCCUAACACAUGCAAGUCGAACGGCAGCACGGGAGAGCUUGCUCUCUGGGUGGCGAGUGGCGGACGGGUGAGGAAUACAUCGGAAUCUACUCUGUCGUGGGGGAUAACGUAGGGAAACUUACGCUAAUACCGCAUACGACCUACGGGUGAAAGCAGGGGACCUUCGGGCCUUGCGCGAUUGAAUGAGCCGAUGUCGGAUUAGCUAGUUGGCGGGGUAAAGGCCCACCAAGGCGGCGAUCCGUAGCUGGUCUGAGAGGAUGAUCAGCCACACUGGAACUGAGACACGGUCCAGACUCCUACGGGAGGCAGCAGUGGGAAUAUUGGACAAUGGGCGCAAGCCUGAUCCAGCCAUACCGCGUGGGUGAAGAAGGCCUUCGGGUUGUAAAGCCCUUUUGUUGGGAAAGAAAUCCAGCUGGCUAAUACCCGGUUGGGAUGACGGUACCCAAAGAAUAAGCACCGGCUAACUUCGUGCCAGCCGCCGCCGUAA